UCGCGGUGGGGGCUGAGCCCUCCUGGGGUGUGGGGAGAUGAAGGGAUCCCAGACCCAAGUCGCCUCGUUCCUGCUCUGGGACUCGGUGCCCCGCUGACUGGAGAGGGAGAGAGAUGCGGGACCCUCCUGACCCCAGGCAGCGAUAUGUCCUGCUCCAGGGUGUCCUGGAUCGGCUUUCCGUGUGAAGGCGGGGUGCAGGAGAAUAACACAGGGUACCGCUCUCUGUGAGCCAGCGCUCCUCUGUAAAAUGGCAAUCUAUCUCCAUGAAUUCCUGGGAAUUUGAGUGAUAAUGGUGCAGGGGAAGAUAACAUGUAUAUAUGUAGAUGCUGAAAUUGCUGUAGAAUUGACCAGCAGAAGCACCUUCAAGUUGACCUCAGUAUCUAUUUUUGAUAACUCCCUAGAAUUCCUUGAGAAUGUACUUUGAUCUCUGAGCCUUAUCAUCUCCACAUCUGUAGAAAGGAAGUCAUGAUGCCUAUCUCAAAGCAUUGCUUUGAGGACUGGAAGAGAAAAAGCCUGAAAAUAACAACCUAUGGUGUCUAAAAGGCCUUCAACAAAAUUUGGAAUUAUGUAAAAGAAACUUCCCCUCAUCAACUACUUGGAUAUACUGAGGUCAUUGCUGCCAACUAGGAGAGGGGGUCUUGCAUGAAUCAAAACUCCACAUUUCAUCAGAAGAUUCAAUAGGAGGAACCUCCCUCCCAGGGAAAAGAGUAAUAAAGAAGAUGAAGGACUUGGAUAUUAAGGCUUUUUUUAUCUACAAGGUUAGAGAGCUGGAAGAACCAGUGGCUGUGUAGUCCAAGAGGCAGAAGCCCCAGGAACAAAAAGGAUAAACAGUGCUUCCCUCGUCCAAGACCAAGGCUUCUGGGAACUACCUGGAGAAUCACUGGCAGAGCCCACUUUGGAAGAGCAAUCUCAAGUCUGAUUUAUCACAGUAGAGCUUCAUGAAUCAUGAGCCCAACUUGAGAAGAAGAAAGGUAAGAAGAGAAAAUGAUGCAGUAUGAAUAACUAUGCUAACUACUUCUUUGUGAGUUGCAAAAUCAGGUUUGCCUCAGGGAUAGCUUUUCCAAGGCCACAUGCCUGGAGGACUGCUUUGGGCACUUUUUGUCUUGGCCCUUUAUUUAUAGUAGAUACCUGAUGAUUCUAGAAAAGCCAGGUGUCUGAGAACCUGCUGCUGCCAUGGAGCUAGCCCAAAUCACAGUUUCCAAGAGCACUAGCAACAAUACCAAGGCUCCUAGAAAACCUGAGAGAGAGGUAGGGACCUGCCUGCAGACAGGUGAAAGGUACUUUACAAAGAAAUGAAGUAUGAGUCGUGGUCAAUUAAUGUACUUUGUCCCUUUUGAAAGCCCUAACUUGUUCUUUUUGAGGAUUGUUUUGUUUGUA